UGAUCGGUGACAUCCAGAGUUCCUAUCCUUGACGAUCCUUUUGUUUCGUGGCCAGGCGUCGUGCGCGGGUGCGGGUUUCGUUCUGUUCUCUCUGUUGCGUGUCUCUUCCUGAUUCUUUCUUUUUUUUCGCAAUCUUUAGCACGCGAGAAACACGUCGCGCAAAAACACGUAUCGCGUUUGUCGUACAAAGUUUUUUUUUUUUUUCUGACGCGUUGAUUUCGCGAUUUUGUUGUGUCGCUUGUUGCCGUUCGACAAGGAAUGGAAAGAACCCAGGGAUAAGCCGUAAUUCGGCAACCAUUGCAAGCCUAAAUUCAACGGUCACAAAACACGAAAAAAAAUGGAGAAACCAAACUUUGAGGGGCCUAAUGUUCAACCAACAGCUCCUUUACCAACAGCUCCUCCAUCUUAUGAAGAAGCUAUAGCUAAUGCAGGACCACCUGUGCAUCCUCCAGUUGGUCCUGCACCUUAUCCUAUAGGACUUCCUCCUGUACAAAUGCCGAUUCCAUAUAAUCAAUCAGCAAAUCAAACAGUAAUAUCAGCGCCGGUGUAUCCAUCAUCGAGCCAAUCAGCACAAUCACAGCCACAUUUUAAUGCUGAUCCAAAUUCUGUACCUCAUCCGGAAGUACGGGUUAUUCAUCAACAUUUAACGUAUACUCUAGGGCCGCAUGCCGUGAAAAUGACUUGUCCCUCGUGUCAUGUCGAUAUCAAAACUAGCACGAUAUCGGAUCAUAAGCUGUGUGCUCACAUUUGUUGCUUCCUGAUGUGCAUAUUUGGAUGCUUCCUGUGUUCAUGCCUACCGUACUGUAUGACUGCCUGUAUGACGACACAUCAUUUCUGUCCAAACUGCAAAAAUUAUAUUGGCACAUGGAAAAAUUGAUCUCGAAGAUACAUAUGCUUGUAUAUAACUUGCAGCAUUCCAAUAGAUUAAGAAGUUGUGCAGUUCCAUAAAGAGUUACUCGAUUUAUUAUCACACAUUAAUAAUAACAGAAAAAUUGCUGAGUAAUGUUAUACAUAUGUUGUACCUUACAUAAGUAAGAUAGCGGGACAGAGAAUAUCUUACGACUCGUGAAUCAAGAGCUCAAGAGACAUGUAAGAGAUAAAUGUUUCUCAAUUACUUUCAUUUGUCAUUUAUACAUUUAAGAUAUAGUUCUUAGUUCAAUUUUUUGAAGUUUAAAAUUGUAAACCACUCCUGAUGUCUAAACAGUAUUAGAUUUAAUAUUACUCUGAUAUUUAAAUUUGCAUAUUUGCGAAUAUUUAUGAAGUUAGAAAAAUAGUCAUUAGACUGUUACAAAAUUAUAUGAAUAUUACAAUGAGCAAUAUUUUGCUAUUUGAAAAAAACAUUGCUCAAUAUAAAGUUUUUUUAAUGUCACAAAAUGCAUUUUUUACAUAUUUUAUUUUAGCUCCAUUUAUAUGAUUGUGUCGAUAGAGCGCAUUUAAUUAAGUGUUCAGCAAUAAGCCAACUGCAAAAUCUCUACUGCAAUUACAGAUAAGUUAAGACUACUAAGAAACUUAGAUAUAAAAUAAAAGAUAUUUUAGAGUUGUGAAUAAUCUUAUAUUUAACUGAUUAUGUUUUUGGCAGUUAAUCAGAACGUAAGAAGAAUUUUAUUUAGGGCAGCAUAAUUCUUGCACAAAAGAGUAUAUUUUGCAAUGAGAGACUUGUAUCAGGCAUUUCAAAAAACUUAAGCUAGUCUGUGUUGGAAUGUAUUUUAUUUUAUCAAUUUUGCGUUUAUUUUAUGUAAGUAAUAUGUGCUAUACG